rnacentral:rRNA from 1 species
CAUGCAAGUCGAACGGACAAUUAUUUAUAGCCUCUGGCUAUAGGAAAUUGUUAGUGGCAGACGGGUGAGUAAUGCGUAGGAAUCUACCUAGUAGUACGGAAUAGCCAUUAGAAAUGGUGGGUAAUACUGUAUAAUCCACGAGGGGGAAAGAUUUAUCGCUAUUAGAUGAGCCUACGUUAGAUUAGCUAGUUGGUGAGGUAAUGGCUUACCAAGGCUAUGAUCUAUAGCUGGUCUGAGAGGACGAUCAGCCACACUGGAACUGAGAUACGGUCCAGACUCCUACGGGAGGCAGCAGUGGGGAAUAUUGGACAAUGGGCGAAAGCCUGAUCCAGCUAUGCCGCGUGAGUGAAGAAGGCCUUCGGGU